UACGGAGGGUGCAAGCGUUAUCCGGAUUCACUGGGUUUAAAGGGUGCGUAGGAGGGCAGGUAAGUCAGUGGUGAAAUCUCCAAGCUUAACUUGGAAACUGCCGUUGAUACUAUCUGUCUUGAAUAUUGUGGAGGUGAGCGGAAUAUGUCAUGUAGCGGUGAAAUGCUUAGAUAUGACAUAGAUCACCAAUUGCGAAGGCAGCUCACUACUCAAUCAUUGACUCUGAGGCACGAAAGCGUGGGGAUCAAACAGG
rnacentral:rRNA from 1 species